rnacentral:rRNA from 1 species
UACGGGGGGGGCAAGCGUUGUUCGGAAUUACUGGACGUAAAGGGCGCGUAGGCGGCCUGCUAAGUCGGAUGUGAAAUCCCUCGGCUCAACCGAGGAACUGCAUCCGAUACUGGCGGGCUUGAAUCCGGGAGAGGGAUGUGGAAUUCCAGGUGUAGCGGUGAAAUGCGUAGAUAUCCGGAGGAACACCAGUGGCGAAGGCGGCUUCCUGGACCAACACUGACACUGAGGCGCGAAAGCGUGGGGAGCAAACAGG